rnacentral:misc_RNA from 1 species
UGGAAUGUCUAUUGUACAAUGUACAACCAAAAACAACUUUCAACAACGGAUCUCUUGGCUCUCGCAUCGAUGAAGAACGCAGCGAAAUGCGAUAAGUAAUGUGAAUUGCAGAAUUCAGUGAAUCAUCGAAUCUUUGAACGCACCUUGCACCCUUUGGUAUUCCGAAGGGUACACCCGUUUGAGUGUCAUUGUAAUCUCACUACAACCGCUUUUUUGUGGUUGUAUGUGGACUUGGAUGUUGCCGUGUAACAAACGGCUCGUCUGAAAUGCCUGAGUGUACCCUGCUUUGCGGCGUAUUUGGUGUGAUAAAUCUUCACCGGAG